GAUGAACGCUAGCGGCAGGCCUAAUACAUGCAAGUCGAACGGUGUCUUCGGACAUAGUGGCGCACGGGUGCGUAACACGUAUGCAACCUACCUUACAUUGGGGGAUAGCCUUUCGAAAGGGAGAUUAAUGCCGCAUAAGACAGUAGCUGGGCAUCCAGCAGCUGUUAAAGAUUUAUCGAUGUAAGCUGGGCAUGCGUCCAAUUAGCUAGUUGGUGAGGAAACGGCUCACCAAGGCAAUGAUUGGUAGGGGAACUGAGAGGUCAAUCCCCCACACUGGCACUGAGAUACGGGCCAGACUCCUACGGGAGGCAGCAGUAGGGAAUAUGGGGCAAUGGACGCAAGUCUGACCCAGCCAUGCCGCGUGCAGGAUGAAGGCGUUAUGCGUUGUAAACUGCUUUUAUACAGGAAGAAACGACUCUUGCGAGAGGCAUUGACGGUACUGUAUGAAUAAGCACCGGCUAACUCCGUGCCAGCCGCCGCCGUAACAC
rnacentral:rRNA from 1 species